rnacentral:rRNA from 1 species
UGGGGAAUUUUGCGCAAUGGGCGAAAGCCUGACGCAGCGACGCCGCGUGCGGGAUGACGGUCUUCGGAUUGUAAACCGCUGUCGGGAGGGACGAAGCUCUGACGGUACCUCCAGAGGAAGCACCGGCUAACUCCGUG